rnacentral:rRNA from 1 species
UGGGGAAUAUUGCACAAUGGGCGCAAGCCUGAUGCAGCCAUGCCGCGUGUAUGAAGAAGGCCUUCGGGUUGUAAAGUACUUUCAGCGGGGAGGAAGGCGAUAAGGUUAAUAACCUUGUCGAUUGACGUUACCCGCAGAAGAAGCACAGGCUAACUCCGUGCCAGCAGCCGCGGUAAUACGGAGGGUGCAAGCGUUAAUCGGAAUUACUGGGCGUAAAGCGCACGCAGGCGGUCUGUCAAGUCGGAUGUGAAAUCCCCGGGCUCAACCUGGGAACUGCAUUCGAAACUGGCAGGCUAGAGUCUUGUAGAGGGGGGUAGAAUUCCAGGUGUAGCGGUGAAAUGCGUAGAGAUCUGGAGGAAUACCGGUGGCGAAGGCGGCCCCCUGGACAAAGACUGACGCUCAGGUGCGAAAGCGUGGGGAGCAAACA